AACAAACGCUGGCGGCGUGCCUAAUACAUGCAAGUCGAACGGGGAAAGUAGCAAUAUGAGUACUAGUGGCGCCCGGGUGAGUAACGCGUGGAUAAUCUGCCUUGAAGAGGGGGAUAACUAGUCGAAAGAUUAGCUAAUACCGCAUAAGACCACAAGAACUGAGGUUCAAGGGGUCAAAGGUUUUUCGCUUCAAGAUGAGUCCGCGUAAGAUUAGCUAGUUGGUGAGGUAAUGGCUCACCAAGGCAACGAUCUUUAACUGGUCUGAGAGGAUGAUCAGUCACACUGGAACUGAGACACGGUCCAGACUCCUACGGGAGGCAGCAGUAGGGAAUAUUGCACAAUGGAGGAAACUCUGAUGCAGCGACGCCGCGUGAGUGAUGAAGGCCUUCGGGUCGUAAAGCUCUGUCGCAGGGGAAUAACACAAUGAAUGUACCCUGUAAGAAAGAAUCGGCUAACUUCGUG
rnacentral:rRNA from 1 species